CGAGUGACUGAUGCAGCUACGAUUUCACGGAAACAUCAUUUUAAUUCGCUGAAAUAAUAUUGAAACAAUAAUUACCCAGUGGGUUCUAUCAACUUGUUAUUUCGUUACCUAGUUGACACUUGUUGAAGAAACUUGUAACCAAUUUUGAAUUAUGGAGGUUUUUAUUUUAGAAGCCCGCGAAAUACCUCAAGUUUUAAAAAAUAUGUCUUGUUCAUUUGUAUACACAUAUAGAUAUACUCACGAAAUCUAAGUAAUUUCGUUUAUUAUAUAUGUCAGUAAUGUUGAAUAAAUUCUUAGUGAUUUCUUAUUUGAUAAAUAAAUACAAAACAUUUUUUUUU